rnacentral:rRNA from 2 species
AGACCCGAAACCCGGUGAUCUAGCCAUGGGCAGGUUGAAGGUUGGGUAACACUAACUGGAGGACCGAACCGACUAAUGUUGAAAAAUUAGCGGAUGACCUGUGGCUGGGGGUGAAAGGCCAAUCAAACCGGGAGAUAGCUGGUUCUCCCCGAAAGCUAUUUAGGUAGCGCCUCGUGAAUUCAUCUCCGGGGGUAGAGCACUGUUUCGGCUAGGGGGCCAUCCCGGCUUACCAACCCGAUGCAAACUGCGAAUACCGGAGAAUGUUAUCACGGGAGACACACGGCGGGUGCUAACGUCCGUCGUGAAGAGGGAAACAACCCAGACCGCCAGCUAAGGUCCCAAAGUCAUGGUUAAGUGGGAAACGA